rnacentral:rRNA from 1 species
CUGACCGUAAACGAUGCCAACUACCGAUCCGCUUGUGGAUUCUAUUCAUAGGCGGGGAGGUCCCCGGAAACGAAAGUUUUUCGGCUACGGGGGAAGUAUGGUUGCAAAGCUGAAACUUAAAGGAAUUGACGGAAGGGCACCACCAGGAGUGGAGUUUGCGGCUUAAUUUGACUCAACACGGGAAAUCUUACCCGGCCAGUACAUUGUAAGGAUUGACGGACUGAUAGCUCUUUCAUGAUUCGGUGAAUGGUGGUGCAUGGCCGUUCUUAGUUCGUGGAUUGAUUUGUCUGCUUUAUUGCGAUAACGAACGAGACUUUGACUAUUAAAUAGUGCCCGUGUCCUCUUCCGCACGUGGUCACUUCUUAAAGGAAUUGUUGGCUUCUAGCCUCAAGUGAUUGAGCAAUAACAGGUCUGUGAUGCCCUUAGAUGUUCGGGGCCGCACGCGUACUACAAUGGUAGUGACAGCGUGAUUGUCCUUCUCCGAAAGGAGUUGGCAAACAGUUGAGAUAUUACUAUGGCUGGAAUUGAGUGUUGAAAUUUUCAUUCAUGAACAAGGAAUUCCAAGUAAAUGCGAGUCAUCAACUUGCAUUG